rnacentral:rRNA from 1 species
GGCGAACGCUGGCGGCGUGCUUAACACAUGCAAGUCGAACGGAAAGGCCCUGCUUUUGUGGGGUGCUCGAGUGGCGAACGGGUGAGUAACACGUGAGUAACCUGCCCUUGACUUUGGGAUAACUUCAGGAAGCUGGGGCUAAUACCGGAUAGGAGCUCCUGCUGCAUGGUGGAGGUUGGAAAGUUUCGGCGGUUGGGGAUGGACUCGCGGCUUAUCAGCUUGUUGGUGGGGUAGUGGCUUACCAAGGCUUUGACGGGUAGCCGGCCUGAGAGGGUGACCGGCCACAUUGGGACUGAGAUACGGCCCAGACUCCUACGGGAGGCAGCAGUGGGGAAUAUUGCACAAUGGGCGGAAGCCUGAUGCAGCAACGCCGCGUGCGGGAUGACGGCCUUCGGGUUGUAAACCGCUUUCGCCUGUGACGAAGCGUGAGUGACGGUAAUGGGUAAAGAAGCACCGGCUAACUACGUG